rnacentral:rRNA from 1 species
AGACCGAUAGCAAACAAGUACGGUGACGGAAGAUUGAAAAGAACUUUGAAGAGAGAGUUCAAUAGUACGUGAAACUGUGUGGUGGUAAACGGAGCAAUUCUCGAAGUUUCUAUCGGGAACUCAGCCUUGGAGUGGGGCGGUCUGGUUGUGUCUGAUCAGCAAUGACAGUGCGGCUAGUUCGGCUCGGCUCACGGGUGCAUUUCCCCGGUAGUUUACGGCAGGAACUGUUUAGUGCAGACCUAAGGCCCUGGGAGAAGUUAUAGGCCUAGCUUGUAGCCCUGGGUGUCCUGGCUCCGCGCUAGACAGGUAUUUGAGGAGACUCGUAUAGCGAGCAAUGCUCUGUUGCGGUUUCCAUCUCUCUGCCGAGUAGGUCGCUGGUUGCUCCGACCCGUCUUGAAACACGGAC